rnacentral:rRNA from 1 species
AUACGUAGGGUGCGAGCGUUGUCCGGAAUUACUGGGCGUAAAGAGCUCGUAGGUGGUUUGUCGCGUCGUCUGCGAAAUUCCGGGGCUUAACUCCGGGCGUGCAGGCGAUACGGGCAUAACUUGAGUACUGUAGGGGAGACUGGAAUUCCUGGUGUAGCGGUGAAAUGCGCAGAUAUCAGGAGGAACACCGGGGGCGAAGGCGGGUCUCUGGGCAGUAACGGACGCUGAGGAGCGAAAGCAUGGGUAGCGAACAGGAUUAGAUACCCUGGUAGUCCAGGCCGUAAACGGUGGGCGCUAGGUGUAGGGGUCUUCCACGACUUCUGUGCCGUAGCUAACGCAUUAAGCGCCCCGCCUGGGGAGUACGGCCGCAAGGCUAAAACUCAAAUGAAUUGACGGGG